rnacentral:rRNA from 1 species
CUCCUACGGGAGGCAGCAGUUGGGAAUAUUGCACAAUGGGGGGAACCUUACGCAGCGACGCCGCGUGAAUGAAGAAGAUUUCGGUAUGUAAACCUCUAUCAGCAAGGAAGAAAUGACGGGUACCUGACUAAGAAGGCCCGGCUAACUACGUGCCAGCAGCCGCGGUAAUACGUAGGGGGCAAGCGUUAUCCGGAUUUACUG